rnacentral:rRNA from 1 species
GACGUAGGGCGCGAGCGUUGUCCGGAUUUAUUGGGCGUAAAGAGCUCGUAGGCGGCUUGUUGCGUCAGCUGUGAAAACCCGCAGCUCAACUGUGGGCUUGCAGCUGAUACGGGCAGGCUUGAGUUCGGCAGGGGAGACUGGAAUUCCUGGUGUAGCGGUGAAAUGCGCAGAUAUCAGGAGGAACACCGGUGGCGAAGGCGGGUCUCUGGGCCGAUACUGACGCUGAGGAGCGAAAGCAUGGGUAGCGAACAGG